AUUGAACGUUGGCGGCAGGCCUAACACAUGCAAGUCGAGCGGUAGCACAGAGAGCUUGCUCUCGGGUGACGAGCGGCGGACGGGUGAGUAAUGUCUGGGAAACUGCCUGAUGGAGGGGGAUAACUACUGGAAACGGUAGCUAAUACCGCAUAAUGUCGCAAGACCAAAGUGGGGGACCUUCGGGCCUCAUGCCAUCAGAUGUGCCCAGAUGGGAUUAGCUAGUAGGUGGGGUAACGGCUCACCUAGGCGACGAUCCCUAGCUGGUCUGAGAGGAUGACCAGCCACACUGGAACUGAGACACGGUCCAGGCUCCUACGGGAGGCAGCAGUGGGGAAUAUUGCACAAUGGGCGCAAGCCUGAUGCAGCCAUGCCGCGUGUGUGAAGAAGGCCUUCGGGUUGUAAAGCACUUUCAGCGGGGAGGAAGGCGAUAAGGUUAAUAACCUCAUCGAUUGACGUUACCCGCAGAAGAAGCACCGGCUAACUCCGUGCCAGCAGCCGCGGUAAUACGGAGGGUGCAAGCGUUAAUCGGAAUUACUGGGCGUAAAGCGCACGCAGGCGGUCUGUCAAGUCGGAUGUGAAAUCCCCGGGCUCAACCUGGGAACUGCAUUCGAAACUGGCAGGCUAGAGUCUUGUAGAGGGGGGUAGAAUUCCAGGUGUAGCGGUGAAAUGCGUAGAGAUCUGGAGGAAUACCGGUGGCGAAGGCGGCCCCCUGGACAAAGACUGACGCUCAGGUGCGAAAGCGUGGGGAGCAAACAGGAUUAGAUACCCUGGUAGUCCACGCCGUAAACGAUGUCGAUUUGGAGGUUGUGCCCUUGAGGCGUGGCUUCCGGAGCUAACGCGUUAAAUCGACCGCCUGGGGAGUACGGCCGCAAGGUUAAAACUCAAAUGAAUUGACGGGGGCCCGCACAAGCGGUGGAGCAUGUGGUUUAAUUCGAUGCAACGCGAAGAACCUUACCUGGUCUUGACAUCCACAGAACUUUCCAGAGAUGGAUUGGUGCCUUCGGGAACUGUGAGACAGGUGCUGCAUGGCUGUCGUCAGCUCGUGUUGUGAAAUGUUGGGUUAAGUCCCGCAACGAGCGCAACCCUUAUCCUUUGUUGCCAGCGGUUAGGCCGGGAACUCAAAGGAGACUGCCAGUGAUAAACUGGAGGAAGGUGGGGAUGACGUCAAGUCAUCAUGGCCCUUACGACCAGGGCUACACACGUGCUACAAUGGCAUAUACAAAGAGAAGCGACCUCGCGAGAGCAAGCGGACCUCAUAAAGUAUGUCGUAGUCCGGAUUGGAGUCUGCAACUCGACUCCAUGAAGUCGGAAUCGCUAGUAAUCGUAGAUCAGAAUGCUACGGUGAAUACGUUCCCGGGCCUUGUACACACCGCCCGUCACACCAUGGGAGUGGGUUGCAAAAGAAGUAGGUAGCUUAACCUUCGGGAGGGCGCUUACCACUUUGUGAUUCAUGACUGGGGUGA
rnacentral:rRNA from 1 species